AAAUGUAAUCCAUUUUAAAUUGAGGCUGUAACACAACAAAAUGUGGAAAAAGUCAAGGGGUGUGAAUACUUUCUGAAGGCACGGUAGUUGUAUUUAUUGUUGCAGUUUUUUUUACCAGUAUUUUACUUUUGGUUUCUUUCCAAACUUGACGUUGCACUUUCAGUCCAUAAAUUCUGUCAGCGUCUUAGGGUUGCACAACAUGUUUUAGUGCUGAAGGGAAUACUACAAAGCAGGUUCAAUGAAUUAGCCAGCUAACUUGCCUAAAUAUUCAGAAGUAACUUGUCAUUUUUUGUGAAGAUAAACUUGAAAUGGGCAAGGUCUAAUUGACUCAACGACCAAAAAUGUAUAUCUAAGUAUAACUUUCUUCAUGACCCAGAAAAUAAAUAGUUAUUUCUGGUUGUUUAUCAAAGUUACCUGGCUAACUCAUUUAUGCUGCUUCGUAGUAUACCCGUCAGGUAAACAGUUCAGUGGUUUCCUUUGUUGAACAACUAGGAGUGCUAACCCUCAUCUUUAGCUUGUGAUUGGCCACAGCAACCAAAGUAAGGCCUAAAUUCAAGUUAAACAAUCCUUGAAAAAUCAUUUACAACUCUGUUUGUAGAGUUUUCAAAAAAAGGGCUGUCAUAGGGUCAUUUUGGCACUUUAUUCCUGAAAUUACAUUUAAUAUUUACUAUGGUAGCUGGUUUGGAGAUGCAAACAAGAUAGACAUGAAAUCUGAAUGAAUCACUGUGAUAACCAGAUUCUGCCUUAUAAGAUUACAUGAUAUGGAAAGCUAAGAUCGCCAAUCUCUCCAUUAAUUUUUUUGUUGUAAUUGUGCAACUUGUUGAGACAAGCAGUGAAUUGCAAACCUUUAUCAUCCCCCAUUGUUUUCCAAUGCCUAGGCCUGACUUAGAUUGGCACUAGUAUGAGAAUAUGAGGUAGGCCUCAUUCAAAAUGCCGCUAGUGUGAAAAUAUGACCAACACCGGACUGAAAUUUGCUCUAGGGAGAAUAUGAAUAUGACCAACAGGGAGGUGUAUCACUGCUUAAGUUGUUACCCACUGCUUUUCACUAGUUAACAUUUUGCUUUUCAUAUUUAUAUUCACACAUUUUGUGAAGUGGUACUGUAUUUCCCAUGUCAGCCUAAUUGUCCAGAUUUGUCCCAUGUCAGCCUAAUUGUCCAGAUUUGUCCCAUGUCAGCCUAAUUGUCCAGGUUUGUCCCAUGUCAGCCUAAUUGUCCAGAUUUGUCCCAUGUCAGCCUAAUUGUCCAGAUUUGUCCCAUGUCAGCCUAAUUGUCCAGGUUUGUCCCAUGUCAGCCUAAUUGUCCAGGUUUGUCCCAUGUCAGCCUAAUUGUCCAGAUUUGUCCCAUGUCAGCCUAAUUGUCCAGGUUUGUCCCAUGUCAGCCUAAUUGUCCAGGUUUGUCCCAUGUCAGCCUAAUUGUCCAGGUUUGUCCCAUGUCAGCCUAAUUGUCCAGAUUUGUCCCAUGUCAGCCUAAUUGUCCAGGUUUGUCCCAUGUCAGCCUAAUUGUCCAGGUUUGUCCCAUGUCAGCCUAAUUGUCCAGGUUUGUCCCAUGUCAGCCUAAUUGUCCAGGUUUGUCCCAUGUCAGCCUAAUUGUCCAGAUUUGUCCCAUGUCAGCCUAAUUGUCCAGAUUUGUCCCAUGUCAGCCUAAUUGUCCAGAUUUGUCCCAUGUCAGCCUAAUUGUCCAGGUUUGUCCCAUGUCAGCCUAAUUGUCCAGAUUUGUCCCAUGUCAGCCUAAUUGUCCAGAUUUGUCCCAUGUCAGCCUAAUUGUCCAGAUUUGUCCCAUGUCAGCCUAAUUGUCCAGAUUUGUCCCAUGUCAGCCUAAUUGUCCAGAUUUGUCCCAUGUCAGCCUAAUUGUCCAGGUUUGUCCCAUGUCAGCCUAAUUGUCCAGAUUUGUCCCAUGUCAGCCUAAUUGUCCAGAUUUGUCCCAUGUCAGCCUAAUUGUCCAGGUUUGUCCCAUGUCAGCCUAAUUGUCCAGAUUUGUCCCAUGUCAGCCUAAUUGUCCAGGUUUGUCCCAUGUCAGCCUAAUUGUCCAGAUUUGUCCCAUGUCAGCCUAAUUGUCCAGAUUUGUCCCAUGUCAGCCUAAUUGUCCAGGUUUGUCCCAUGUCAGCCUAAUUGUCCAGGUUUGUCCCAUGUCAGCCUAAUUGUCCAGAUUUGUCCCAUGUCAGCCUAAUUGUCCUGAUUUGUCCCAUGUCAGCCUAAUUGUCCAGAUUUGUUCCAUGUCAACCUAAUUGUCCAGAUUUGUCCCAUGUCAGCCUAAUUGUCCAGAUUUGUCCCAUGUCAGCCUAAUUUGCUUAAUUGGCCCAUGUCAGCCUAAUUGGUCUAAUUGGCCCAUGUCAGCCUAAUUUGCUUAAUUGGCCCAUGUCAGCCUAAUUGGUCUAAUUGGCCCAUGUCAGCCUAAUUUGCUUGAUUGGCCCAUGUCAGCCUAAUUGUCCAGAUUUGUCCCAUGUCAGCCUAAUUUGCUUAAUUGGCCCAUGUCAGCCUAAUUGGUCUAAUUGGCCCAUGUCAGCCUAAUUUGUUUAAUUGGCCCAUGUCAGCCUAAUUGGUCUAAUUGGCCCAUGUCAGCCUAAUUGGUAUAAUUGGCCCAUGUCAGCCUAAUUGGCCCAUGUCAGCCUAAUUGGUAUAAUUGGCCCAUGUCAGCCUAAUUGGUAUAAUUGGCCCAUGUCAGCCUAAUUGGUAUAAUUGGCCCAUGUCAGCCUAAUUGGCCCAUGUCAGCCUAAUUGGCCCAUGUCAGCCUAAUUGGUAUAAUUGGCCCAUGUCAGCCUAAUUGGCCCAUGUCAGCCUAAUUGGUCUAAUUGGCCCAUGUCAGCCUAAUUGGUCUAAUUGACCCAUGUCAGCCUAAUUGACCCGAGGUAUCACAUUUCUGGUGCCUUUAAAGUUGUUACUUGUGAAUUAGAUGCUUUGCUUCCAUUAGUUGUCAUUUCUAAAUUGGAUCUUGCUUAUGAUAUCUAUGCAAAACAAAUUAAAUUGAUUGAUUGAGGACUGAGCGUUAUCAGCGAUCUAAUAGACAUAACAAAGUACCUAAGCAUGCUGAGCAUGUUGGCAUGUUUCAUUUGCUACAUUUUAAUUUACAUUUUACUUAGUUUUUACACUUCACGGAGGAGAAUUCAAAUGAUAUAUUCUGCACGCUGGCUUUGGAAGAAAAAGUAAAAAAGCAUGACAAAAGACAAAUGCUGCAUAUAUUAGAAAAUUUACCCCUUCGUGUGAUUCUCAUGGAUGUGUCGGAGGUAGAUUUUACUGCUAAAAUUUGAUUAUUUUCUGACAAGAAGAUUCAACUGCCUCUAUAGUAGAACAGCAUUGCUGCAACCAGAAUGUAUUUAAUCACAUCUUCCUUCAUACAGUAUUAUCAUAAUCUUGACUCCUUCAUUUGUCUCGUGUGUGUGUGUGUGUGUGUGUGUGUGUGUGUGUGUGUGUGUGUGUGUGUGUGUGUGUGUGUGUGUGUGUGUGUGUGUGUGUGUGUGUGUGUGUGUGUGUGUGUGUGUGUGUGUGUGUGUGUGUGUGUGUGUGUGUGUGUCACAUGUUUCCCCUCAUUGUCAUUAGCUCUUCAGGCUUUUGUGGAUGCAUAGUGUCAGAAUGUCAGUAUUGUUGCGGCUGUAGGCUUUACAGUUUACCCAUUAAUAGUUCAUGUCAAGUGAGCUUGCUUUUUGUGAGUAAUUUCAUUGGAUGUACCCAUGACAUUAUCCUGCAUUUUACUUUGCACUUUCCUCACAACAUUAAAGCAUUGAGCCCUGGGACUUUUUCACCCCCCUCUGAGCGACUGUUAUGUGCACUGGACCUGUUUCCCCAUGUGUUUGGUCAAACUUGACUUCUUGUUAAAAAAAUAAAGUGUAUUUUUUAAAAGCAUAUGUUUAUAGUCUGUAUUAAAAAAAUGUUUUUUUUUUUUUUUACUUAAUCAGCUAGUAUUUUUUGUGAGGCAUCUGAUAUUGUGACUUUGAAAUGCUCCAAUUUUGGAAGCCGAUAUUAUAAACUUUGUAUUUUUGGAUAGACUUCUCACUGCAGAACAGAUACGGCUGGUCAUGCUCCUGUUGUGCUUCAAGCGUAGCUUGGGUGAAGUAAUCAUGUAAUUGGGAAGCAAUUAGAUGUAACAAUUGAUGCAUCAAAGAGUGCUGUGAGAAACCACUUUAAUGGUUAAUAUUAAAAUAUGUACAAAAAUGUCAUAGACAGGAGUGAGAACAGUCAUCUUGUUGUGCAUAGAGUCUAUAAACAAAACCCACUAUCAUAUAAUAUGCAUUUAACUGUGUCAUUCGCUAUCUAUACUUCAGUACUGUGUGAGUAAAUUCACCUUGAAGAAAUACCACUAGUUAUGUGAUUUAUAUAAGUCAGGUAUGUGCUCAAAUCAGAAUUUUAGAAUUGACUCCCAUUCAAUUCAUGAGUUCAAAUUUGAAUUGAAUUGGCCACACCCCACAGGAUGUAGAAUUUGAGUUUGAUUGACAGAAAGUAGAAUUCAAUUCUGUGCAAUUCAAAGAAAUUCCACUCAGACAUAGAACAGUUUUUCACUGAAUCUGACGGGUCACACUUUCAGAUACCAAAGAAUAUACGACUUUUCUCUGGAAUCAAUGUUCAUAUUCUAUUUUAGUGCAUAGAAUAGCCAAUUAUAUUUCCACCAACUAUUUCAUUUGUUUGGCUUAUGUUGAAGGCUUUAGGGCCAACACUAAUGCAUUCUGGGAAAUGUAGUAUUUUCCCUAUAUUUCCCUAAAUUUAAGAGAUUAAUGAAAUAUAAUAUCUUAGAAUAUUCGCAUUCAGGUUUUGUUGUUUUCCUCGAUCAUUGAUUUUAAGAGUUUCUCCUGAAAACCAAUAUUUUAUAUGCAUGUAUAUUAUUGGUUACAGAUCUGAAUGUCAGAACCGUUUUGGCUGCCAGAGUGGUUCUGAAUCAGAAGCAGUCCGGAUUUCUAAUCUUUAGCGCUUGAUUUUUACUUUUUGUGUGUGGAAAUGUUUUCUUUUCCUUUUUUCUGAUUACUUUGCAUGAGUUUCAAGAUGAGCUUUUUUCUUAUUUUAAGCUUGGUUUUAUUUUGUAUGUUCUUUUUUUCUAUCAAGCACAAUGUCAUGCAAAAGAUUAUAUUGGAAGAAAGGUGGAAUAGACUUAAAUGUGGUUUAAUGUUCUGUUACGUUUUCCUUGUAUGGUCAAUUGUCCAUCUUCGAUUCGAACAGUGGCAAGGACUCACACAAACUGAACUGCUAUGUCCAAAAGCAACAAAAAUACAUGUUUUAUCAGCCUUUUAUUCACAUGGAGAUGCAAUUAUGUGGUGUUUGUACUUAUACAUUUGAUCUUCUAUGUGUUUAUGCGCUAGAUGCCCACUGAAGUGUAUUCUGUUUGCCGAGUGUAUAGAUUAACUGUGUUUAUUGCUUUUCGGUAUAAAUGUUUUUGUGCUUUAUGUGAUAUGUCAAUAGUGAAAAUGUGUGUUACAUGCACUGAGAAGUAAUGUGCUGCAGUUUGUCAUUGUUUUUCUGACUUAGUAUCGGUUUACCAAAUGUUUUCAGACUGAUCCAAACUCUGUUGCUUAACUGUGUUUUUACAAUCAGUUGUCUUUUCUUUAAAAAAAAAAAUCUGUGUUUAUGUAGUAAAUCGGACUGAUUUGAAAUAUCUAUUAUUACUGCCACAAUAAGGGGAAAUAUGUUGUUUUAAUAUGAAAUGGACCCUUGCCAUCCACACAGGAUACUGUAAACCAGGGGUCUUCAACCUUUUCAUGCCCAGAGACUAGCUCCCAGACAAAUCGGCGACCCAGGGACCCCCAUCAUAUGUUAGCAAAAAUAAAUGUUUUCACGUCUUGUCUUAUCAUUAGGUGACUGAUAAGAGCAAGAAGUAAUCAACAAUUUAAAAUAAAUAGAUUUGGUAGAUGCUUUCCACCACCCCACAUUCUAUUUAGAAGAGGAAGUAUAAACUCUAAUAUAGCCUAUUAGCUAGAAACCCAUUUUCGCUAAGGGCAGCUGGUUAAACAAAGUUUAGUUGUGUUUUGGCAAAAAUGUAUGUCCAAGUCAAGAAAGCUAACCAUAUUUUAUACUGUAGGUAUGUCAUUUAAAACCAGUUUAUUCUGUUGCUAGUGAUGUAAAUAAAUAUUUUCGGUGACCCCCUGCAGUACCUUCACGGACCCCCGGUUGAAUAACCCUGCUGUAACCCAUCAACUUCCCCCGUGACACCAGACAGGUAAUCUGGGCAAUAUUUAAGUAUUACAUAGCCAAACAUGGCCAUCUCAGCGUUUUGACAUACUAGCCUGGCUGCCUGACUGAAUCAGCAGUUGACAGCUUCCCUUAAUGUCAUGACUGUGACAAUGGAGCUGUCCAAUGCUGAAACCGACAGAUUCAGGCUGUAUAGCUGCUAAAUAAAUAACUGUAUUUACAAGUAUUACGUUCAUAAAUUGUCCCUUUAACUCUUAUUUAUAGUUCCAGUAAUGCACUUAUUUUGGAGCACAUUGUUAUCUGUCCUUCACUAAAAUGUGUUUCUGUCGAUGUUGAAAUAGUCUUCAAAUACUCUAAUUUCCCACUGCAUCUCAAAAGUUACGUUUUCGUUUUGUUAGACUGAGAAUUACAUAAACUUAAAACUAUACACUUGUCUAUGAAUUGUUUACAUUUAGAAAAGGAAAAUAUUUGAGAAAUAUAAAUCGGCUUUAUCUUAAGUUUAUUUCUCACUGCAUAACCUACUGCAUUAAGAUUGACAUGUGACUGACAUUUUCAGCUUGAUACCUUGAGGUAACUCUUUCUACAUGGUACCAAAUUUGUAAAUAUCUCCUUAUGAUGUAAAAAAAAAAAAAAGUAUUGAUGUGAUAUUUUUUGCUUUUAGUAAGUAUUUAGCUCUGACUAGGUUAGGUUAACCAUGUGCAAACACUCUGUGUGACUAAAACCUGCUCACCCAAAGCAUCUCCAGUAGGAUAAAAUGCAGAUCUCAAUAUAAUUCUGUAAAUGUUUUUAUUUAUUAUAGUGGCAAUACAUGUAAAAAGGGAAAAUCAACCAGACAGAUGAAAUGGAGAUAAUCAUUGUUUGAUCAUUCAGGAUAGUUACCACAACAACAAAAAAACUAGAAAUCCUCUGAUAUGUGCAUUUAAUGGGGGAUGGCCCACUCUAGUGGUCCCUUUCUCAUACAACGGCAGCUAAAUUGUAAUAUAAUGUAUUUUCUUUUCAGUACUAUUACUCAAAUGUUGCAAAUGUAUUUAACUGCAAUGUCUGGAUACUACACCUACUGUACUCACAGCAACAGGACAGUUAUGCUCAUCGAAUAUGCAAAUCCUAGCAUUCAGCAGAACAGCUUGGCAAUCCUGUAUUUUUGUUGAGCUGACCCUUUAAAAUGAAUGCAUCAAAUCUUGUUCUUUUUAAAUUGUGCUUUUAUAUAAAACGGGAAAAAACAGACCAAAAAAUCCAUGUGGGCUGUAUUAAAUGUGUGCUAAAUAACUGAAAGCGGAUGUUAAGCUUCUAUUCGAAUCAUACCUAAUGUAUUUUUCUUGUGUGAAGGCUUCAGUCUUUGUAUCUUUGCAUUACUAUUUGUAAAUGAAAUUAGAUUAAAUAAAAUCUAAAUAAGCAUA